rnacentral:rRNA from 1 species
CUCGGCUCGUGUGUCGAUGAAGAGCGCAGCCAACUGUGUGAAUUAAUGUAAACUGCAUACUGCUUUGAACAUCGACAUCUUGAACGCAUAUUGCGGCCAUGGGUUAGCCUGUGGCCACGCCUGUCCGAGGGUCGGCUUAUAAACUAUCACGACGCCCAAAAAGUCGUGGCUUGGGUUUUGCCAGCUGGCGUGAUUUCCUCUAUGAGUAAUCAUGUGAGGUGCCAGAUCUAUGGCGUUUCCCUAAUGUAUCCGGACGCAUCCUUGUCUUGGCUGAAGGCCGUGAUGGGUUGCGGUGGCGGAAUCGUGGUUUAAUGUGGCUAUGCCCCGUUUUCAGCAUGUUUUGGCGAUACCCUAGUCGGCAUGCAUAUGAAUACGGGUGGAGCUAUGAUCGGGUUGGUACUCCGUUAUCAGUGUGUUUGGCGCUUCCAGUCGGCAUACUUAUGAUCUCGGAGGUAAUUCCAUACCAGGCACGUUCCGUUACUGUCGCUCCAUUGCUGGUUGUAGGCUAGCUUGGGCAAUGCAUCUGAUGUUACAAUUUGAUUAACAGCUGCGUUUAUGCAGUCUGUUUCCUGACCUCGGUUCAGACGUGAUUACCCGCUGAACUUAAGCAUAUCACUAAGCGGAGGAAAAGAA